rnacentral:rRNA from 1 species
AGAGUUUGAUCCUGGCUCAGGAUGAACGCUGGCGGAGUGCCUAAUACAUGCAAGUCGAGCGGCAGCACGAGUAGUUUACUACUUGGUGGCGAGCGGCGGACGGCUGAGUAACGCGUGGGAACAUGCCCCAAAGUGAGGAAUAACUGCCCGAAAGGGUAGCUAAUGCCGCAUAUGAUCUUCGGAUUAAAGGAUUUAUCCGCUUUGGGAGUGGCCCGCGUACGAUUAGAUAGUUGGUGAGGUAACGGCUCACCAAGUCUGCGAUCAGUAACUGGUGUGAGAGCACGACCAGUCACACGGGCACUGAGACACGGGCCCGACUCCUACGGGAGGCAGCAGUAAGGAAUAUUGGUCAAUGGACGAAAGUCUGAACCAGCCAUGCCGCGUGAAGGAUGAAGGUCCUCUGGAUUGUAAACUUCUUUUAUCUGGGACGAAACACUCUUAUUCUUAGGAGCUUGACGGUACCAGAGGAAUAAGCACCGGCUAACUCCGUGCCAGCAGCCGCGGUAAUACGGAGGGUGCAAGCGUUAUCCGGAUUCACUGGGUUUAAAGGGUGCGUAGGUGGGUCUGUAAGUCAGUGGUGAAAUCUCCGAGCUUAACUCGGAAACUGCCAUUGAUACUAUAGGUCUUGAAUUUUCUGGAGGUAAGUGGAAUAUGUCAUGUAGCGGUGAAAUGCUUAGAUAUGACAUAGAACACCAAUUGCGAAGGCAGCUUACUACAGGAACAUUGACACUGAGGCACGAAAGCGUGGGGAUCAAACAGGAUUAGAUACCCCCGUAGUCC